rnacentral:lncRNA from 1 species
AAGGUGUAUGUAUUUGUAGAAAACAAUAGAGAAAUGGACAAAAGUUUUAUAUACCACUCUUGAGUCUUAGAAAAAUUAAACAGAAAAAGAUAUAGAAGAUUUUAAUCUUAUAAUUAUUUGGGUUAAUUUAGUAGAGAAUCCAGAUAUGAUAAUCUGGAUUCUAUAGCCCAGGUAACAUUAUUUUCAAACAUUUAUUAGUAUUAAAAAUUACUUUAGGUCACUAAAAUAUAUUAAUAAAUUCACUAAGUAGGAAUUUAGAGGGCCAUAUUAUCUGAUCGUGAUUCAAAAAAACCUCAAUAUUGGUAACAAUAUAAGUAACAAAAGCAAAAAUCAUAAUCAUUUGGAAAUUAAAAAAAGAAAAAUAUAUUUUAAAUUACAUUUGUAAGUAAAACUAUAAUUUAAGACAACUUAGAAAAUAAUGAAAAUCAUAAUAGUAAAUAUUAACAUGUAUAAAACACACAAAAAUUGUCAUCUACUUUUUUAUCUGUAAUUUUCUUAAAAUAUAAGGGGUAAGGCUAAAGGUGUCCUUAGGCAAAUGAAUAGUCUUACAUUUUUUCAUUAUUAACUAAGAAAAACAAUAAAAGCAGGCAUUCAAGUCACAAAGUUAGAGAAACAAAACACAAGAGUGAAUUUGGGCUGGGCGAGAUGGGGCUCACGCCUGUAAUCCCAGCACUUUGGGAUGCCAAGGCAGGCAGACACCUUGAGUUCAGGAGUUCAAGACCAGCCUGGGCAACAUGGCAAGACCCUGUCUCUAAAAAACAAAAAAUAAAUAAAUAAAAUAAACAAUAAAUACAAAAAUUAGCUGGGUGUGGUGGUGCAUGCCUGUGGUCCCAGCUAUGUGGGAGGCUAAGGUGGGAGGAUUGCUUGAGCCCAGGAGGCAGCGGUUGCAGUGAGUUGAGGUCUGCACUCCAGUCUAGGUGACAGAGCCAGACAUGGUCUUAAAAAAAAAAAAAAAAAAAAAGUGAAUUCAAAAGAUUAGCUAAGACAAAUUGGGAAAAAAAACCAAAAGGGGAGUUGACCUAACAGAUAUUAAGAUGUAUUUCUAAAGCCAUAGCAGCUAAAAUAGUACAGUAUUAAUGUAGGGACAAACAGAGCAAUGAAGAAUAAAGAGACCAGCAGUAAACCCAAAUAUGUGAGAUGAUUUAGGGGAAGAACAGACUUUAUCAUUAAAGAUGAUGGUGCUCAUUAUCUUUGGAUUUACAAGAUUAUGAAUAAUUACACUUUAAAAAUAUUUUCCUUUUUUAAUAACAAUUAUGUGCUAUUUUCAUAAUGAGAAAAAUUCAACAAAUGUUCCUUAAAACUGGUAGAUCAACAUAAUAUGAACAAGGAACCACUUUCUCUGUUUGCUUCUGAAACCAGUUUGGCUCAGCGCAGUCUGCUAGUGUUUUCACACCUGCUGAAGUCAGUGGAGAGGAAGCCCUCGGGAAUUACAAGGGCAGCGUGAAGACAUCGGUGGAAAUAAAUUAGUCUCAUUAUCAUGGAAAAAAAAUCCAUGGGUUGCAUCUGUCUUGUUGAUUGCUGUAUCCCUGGUGCCUGGAAACUGGUUACUGUGGGACUAAAUAAAUAUUUGUUUAAUAAAUGAGCGAAGUGGCUUGGAUUUAUUUUUUUUUUCUGCUUCCGAGAGUUCUUUAGUUUUAACAAAAAGAAAAAAUCACACUUGUAAUCCUGGUCGUGAAUACUCACCUGCUUCGGAGUGGGGCUCGUAGGUUUGAAUUCGGGCCCCUCCCACCAUUUACUUACAGACACAGGCAGGAUUAGUGGCACUCCAGGGAGAAGGUUGUCUGGAGAAGACUGGUGGUCAGUCAGAACCUUGAACUCAAAGCCAACUUUCCCCAUGUUCGUCAGCGUGAUUUCCCUCUCUGUGACAUGGUCAAACAGCUUGAGAAGAGAAGGAGAAGAGUGACUCCAUCUUGGGAUGCGGCUUUGAUAGUGACAAAGGUGCAGAAACAUGCCUCAUGGAUAAGGGUGUGACAGCUCCUGAUAUAAAUACUGGUCAAUCUACAUCUCAGCAUCACAACAAAUGCCUACUGGGGCACUAGACUCUGGAAACCUGGCUCUUAGUUCUUCUAAGAACCGAUUCAGUUUAGGUAUGGCUGUGGGGCUGAGCAUUUCACCUUCCUGGGUCUCAGUUUUUUCACUACAGGAACUUGUAAUAGAGAAUCUUAAAGUAAGCUUUCUACAUUAAAAAGAUUUGCCUAGUAUUCCAUGGUGUAUAUGUGCCACAUUUUCUUAAUCCAGUCUAUCAUUGUUGGACAUUUGGGUUGGUUCCAAGUCUUUGCUAUUGUGAAUAGUGAGAAAGUAAGCUCGUAAGGCCCCAGCGAGAUGCAGCCAUAAAAAAUGAUGAGUUCAUGUCUUUGUGGGGACAUGGAUGAAGCUGGAAACCAUCAUUCUCAGCAAACUAUCGCAAGGACAAAAAAACCAAACACCGCAUGUUCUCACUCAUAGGUGGGAAUUGAACAAUGAGAACACUUGGACACAGGAAGGGGAACAUCACACACCAGGGCCUGUUGUGGGGUCGGGGGGAGGGGGGAGGGAUAGCAUUAGGCGAUAUACCUAAUGUAAAUGACAAGUUAAUGGGUGCAGCACACCAACAUGGCACAUGUAUACAUAUGCAACAAACCUGCACGUUGUGCACAUAUACCCUAGAACUUAAAGUAUAAUAAAAAGAAUUAAAAUAAAUAAAUUAAAAAAAAAAAGAUUUGCCUUCUGGAUUCUGUCCUGUAAGAAAAACAAAAGAUUUGAGUUUAGAAUGUUCUAGAAUGAACUUUUCCAUUCAAAUGGAGAACCAUGGGUGUAACAGGCCAGUCAUGUUCUUUUUCCUGGAAUUUUGCUAACAUAAUUCACCAGCUGGGUUAGCAGGCCCAAUAACCACAAACAGGCCACUUUGGGGGUCCUUAGGAAAAGCUAGGGUGAGGUCUGACUGCUUCAAAGACUAUACUCA